ACUUGCCUCUUGGACUGGGACAACUGUUGGAAACGACAGCUAAUACCGGAUAUUAUGAGAUUCUCGCAUGAGAAACUUAUGAAAGCUAUAUGCGCCAAGAGAGAGCCUUGCGUUCCAUUAGCUAGUUGGUGGGGUAACGGCCCACCAAGGCGACGAUGGAUAGCCGGCCUGAGAGGGUGAACGGCCACAAGGGGACUGAGACACGGCCCUUACUCCUACGGGAGGCAGCAGUGGGGAAUAUUGGACAAUGGGCCACAAGCCUGAUCCAGCAAUUCUGUGUGCACGAUGAAGGUCUUCGGAUUGUAAAGUGCUUUCAGUUGGGAAGAAGAAAGUGACGGUACCAACAGAAGAAGCGACGGCUAAAUACGUGCCAGCAGCCGCGGUAAUACGUAUGUCGCAAGCGUUAUCCGGAUUUAUUGGGCGUAAAGCGCGUCUAGGCGGAAAAAUAAGUCUGAUGUUAAAAUGCGGGGCUCAACUCCGUAUUGCGUUGGAAACUGUUUUUCUAGAGUACUGGAGAGGUGGGCGGAACUACAAGUGUAGAGGUGAAAUUCGUAGAUAUUUGUAGGAAUGCCGAUGGAGAAGUCAGCUCACUGGACAGAUACUGACGCUGAAGCGCGAA
rnacentral:rRNA from 1 species